UGCAUGUGAUGUAAAUGAAUAUUUGCUAUCUUAUCAAAGAUGAUGACAUUUUCCCACCAAGAUCGCUGAUGCA